CCAACUAAAUCAUUUUAAAGGGACACUGUGUAAAAAUUACUCCCAUCUAGUGGUACAAUUGUAUAUUGCAUUCAAACUAAUAGUGCUCGGUUGUUCAAAAACUACGGUGGGCAGUAUGUGCCAAGAAGCUGUGUCAUGACAUCCAAUACUACCUCAUCGAGUCAUUAGAGUGAUGAUGAGGUUUGUUCUUUCAAACAAAUUUCAAACUGCAUUGAAUCAUUAGUGUAAGCUAAUGAUGCAUGAGUAAUUAUUCCUCGAGCAAAAUAGUGAAUUAUUUCAUUCACGCUGGCUCAGAGUGAAAAUGCGUUUGCAUUUCCUGUACCACGUAGUGCUUUUUGUCCCUCUCGGCAGUUCAUAGAACGGAAGAACAUGGAAGCCUCCAUGAAGCUUACCCGUCCUAUGUAACAUACAUAUUAAUUAUUCUUCGCUUAGGUGGAUAAGUGAGAUUUUUGGCAGAGAUCAUUAGCCAGGCUACUCAAUCACACCGAGCGAUCUGCUAACGUCACCCCUAUUCUAUCUCAGCUACACUGGUUACCGGUUCUGUCCCGAAUCAGAUUCAAAAUGCUUCUUCUCACCUACAAAGCCCUCCAUGACCUUGCUCCUCCUUACCUCUGUGACCUUCUGACCCCUUAUGCUCCAACCUGCUCGCUCAGAUAAUCUGACCACAAUCUCCUCUCCGUCUCCCGGACCAGACUUUCUACCCUGGGUGGCAGGUCUUUCAGUGCCAUGGCCCUCAAACUCUGGAACUCCCUUCCUCAAUCCCUCCGUGACUGUCUCUUUAUUUCAUCUUUAUUUGUGUUGUUGGGCUGUCUUGUUUUGCAGGUGGGGGCAGGUGGGGGUUUCAGGUGCCUUGCUCAAGGGCACCUCAUCCGUGGAUGAGGACGUAAGAGAGUGCUGCACAACUAUUCCCCCCGUCCACAUUUCUACCUACCAGUCGGGAUUCAAACCGGCCGGUGUCCGGUUACCAGUCCAACUCCUUAACCAGGUUGGCUCCUACAGUCUCUUCCCUCUGGGAUUCUCCACUCUGAAGCUCUGCAGGAAGGUUUUUUUGUGAAUGAGUGUGAGGGGAAGUGAGAAAAACAAUUGUUUGUGUAUGAUGGACAAAUAUAAUGUGUGCGCGGUUGUGCAUGCCUCAAUGUUUAGAGGUCAUAAAUCUCUUAGGUUAAUCGCCACUUUAUCUGCUCAAAGAGUGGCCAGGUUGUUCUCUUUCGCUCCCCGCCACACGCCACGCACGCUGUGAAGGAAACACACAAUCACACACACAAAGACGCUGUGUGCGUCCACACAGCACACCUGCAGUGGCCAUUAGCAGCAACCUCCUUCCUCCAGGAUUAAGGGACUGUUUAAACAGAUGGCUAGAUGUCCAGCAGCAGAAGUCUGCUGUGUCAGUCCCCAACAAUCACCCUUGAGCAGAUGAUGAGGACAGAGCCUUGGGCCAGAGUUGUUUCACGUUUUGUUUUGUUUUUGUUGUUUUGGAAAAAAUGUAGAGAGAAAAGAAUGGAUCCAUCUUUUAUGUUGGUGCAUCCGGAACAUGAAAAUAUACAAUCCUCCUUUGUUUCUGACAAUAGAAAAGCUGCACGAUAUAGGUGGGCUUAUAGAUAAUUGGUGCAUGUUUAUGCACCAAUUGUGCACAAUUCGUUUCAGAGAUCCUGGUUUGGCAGAUAUCAUACAAAAAAACUGAACAUACCUGUUAUGACUGUACAGCGUCACUUAGUGUUCAUCUGUGGAACUUGCUUGAUUGUGUAGCAUUACUGAAUGAAACCAACUAAGUUCAUACAUAUUUGAUUAUAUAUAUUUGACUGAAAUAUUUAUGAUUUGUAUUGUAUGCUACUGUUAAGCAAUAAAUUAUUUCACCA
ensembl:lncRNA